rnacentral:rRNA from 1 species
AACGAACGCUGGCGGCAUGCCUAACACAUGCAAGUCGAACGAUGCCUUCGGGCAUAGUGGCGCACGGGUGCGUAACGCGUGGGAAUCUGCCCUUGGGUUCGGAAUAACUCAGAGAAAUUUGAGCUAAUACCGGAUGAUGACGUAAGUCCAAAGAUUUAUCGCCCAAGGAUGAGCCCGCGUAAGAUUAGCUAGUUGGUGGGGUAAAGGCCUACCAAGGCGACGAUCUUUAGCUGGUCUGAGAGGAUGAUCAGCCACACUGGGACUGAGACACGGCCCAGACUCCUACGGGAGGCAGCAGUGGGGAAUAUUGGACAAUGGGCGAAAGCCUGAUCCAGCAAUGCCGCGUGAGUGAUGAAGGCCUUAGGGUUGUAAAGCUCUGUCAGCUGGAACGAAAAAAAUGACGGUACCAGCAGAGGAAGCAUCGGCUAACUACGUG